rnacentral:rRNA from 1 species
UACGAAGGGGGCGAGCGUUGUUCGGAAUCACUGGGCGUAAAGGGCGCGUAGGCGGCCCUCUUAGUCGCGUGUGAAAGCCCCGGGCUCAACCUGGGAACGGCGCGCGAAACGGGAGGGCUGGAGUUCGGGAGAGGAGAGUGGAAUUCCCAGUGUAGCGGUGAAAUGCGUAGAUACUGGGAGGAACACCAGUGGCGAAGGCGGCUACCUGGACCGGUUCUGACGCUGAGGCGCGAAAGCGUGGGUAGCAAACAGG